rnacentral:rRNA from 1 species
UACGUAGGGGGCAAGCGUUGUCCGGAAUCAUUGGGCGUAAAGAGCGUGUAGGCGGCCCGGUAAGUCCGCUGUGAAAGUCGGGGGCUCAACCCUCGAAUGCCGGUGGAUACUGUCGGGCUAGAGUGCGGAAGAGGCGAGUGGAAUUCCUGGUGUAGCGGUGAAAUGCGCAGAUAUCAGGAGGAACACCGGUGGCGAAGGCGGGUCUCUGGGCCGAUACUGACGCUGAGGAGCGAAAGCGUGGGGAGCGAACAGG